rnacentral:rRNA from 1 species
GAUCAUGACUCAGGAUGAACGCUAGCUACAGGCUUAACACAUGCAAGUCGAGGGGAAACGACAUCGAAAGCUUGCUUUUGAUGGGCGUCGACCGGCGCACGGGUGAGUAACGCGUAUCCAACCUGCCCACCACUUGGGGAUAACCUUGCGGAAGUAAGACUAAUACCCAAUGACAUCCCACGAAGACAUCUGAAUGGGAUUAAAGAUUUAUCGGUGAUGGAUGGGGAUGCGUCUGAUUAG